rnacentral:rRNA from 1 species
UAAACUAGGAUUAGAUACCCUAUUAUUUUAAGCUUAAUGUUGGUAGUAAGUAAAAAUUAUGAAAUCAUAAAAUUUUGGCGGUAUUUUAAGCUUGUUAGAGGAAUUUGCUCUAUAAUGGAUACAACGCCUAUAUCUUACUUAAUUUUGUAAUUAAAGUCAGUUUGUAUACCACUAUAUUUAAUUAUAUUGAAUAAUUAUAUUUAAGAUUUUUAUAUAAAUAUAUAUUAAGUCAAGGUGCAACAAAUAAUUAUGAGUGAAGUGAAUUACAUUAAUUUUAAUGAUAUUUAGAUACGAAAAAAAAGUUAGGAUUUAAUAGUAAAAUAUUAAUAUAAUAAU